CCGAAAAGGCGUCAACAGUGGUUACAGUGCACAAUCCUCUCACGCCCAUACCAUGUCAUCUCUCCUCUCGACUUUACUCUCGCUCUUGUUAUUCCAGUGCAAAGACCGCAGCAGUCUAUAUCCUCAGCCUAUAAUCACAUUAGGUUUUCUAUUUCCGAAUUGAAUAAUUCACGCACAUUUAUUCCACGCUCGGAAAUCGCUUAACAUAAUUUUUUUUACUGAAUUAAAAAAAUACAAAGUGCAAAAUAAUUAUAAAAGAAAACGUACAUGACAAUUAAAACUACAAAAUAAUUAAGAGAAAAAUACAUAAAACUAAUGAUUACUACGUUCCCACACACAUAGGCUAACAAGCGCACAGCUGCGGUGCACUUUUGUAGGGGGAGAGAGACGGAGCUGACCCAGAGCAUCUUCUCUUUGGGUGAAAUACGGAGAGAGAGUAUUCACCUAAUCUAUGCAUAAUACUAAAAAAAAGUUGCGGCCUCAUGUGGUACCUGCGCCGAAAGUAAUUUGGAGUCAAUCGUGGGCAUACUCACGAUCACAAUUGAUAUAGCGUCGAUGGGGCUUGGGCCUGCUCGACGACUCUUCAUUGAGCUCGAGCAUAACCUCCUCCAUGGCUGUUUGCAAUGCAUUCCACAUUGCACCUUCGGCUCUUUCACUUGAGUUUGUGCUCGAAGAAGGCAUGACGUGAAAAUGAGUAAAAAAGGCGAGUUUGGAAGAGAGAAACAAGAUAAAAUGGUGUGUGGAAUUAUUUGUACCCGAGUAUGGGUGUUUAUAGAGGGACUAGGGAUGAAAUUUGUGAAUUUUGCAUUUUUUUUUAUUUUUUUGGACUCCAAAUGGUCAAAAGCGGCUAGUUGCAAUGGCUACCACACGUGAACCAAUCAGGAGCUAUCACGUCCCUUUCGCCCAUUCACAGUCGCUCACGAGACGCCGCAACCCACGUGUCGCCCGCCUCUCGCCACCCUCUCGCCUGGGGGCGUGCUCCAGCGCGAGCGAGAGCGGGGUGAUGCUGGCCGGGGGAUGCGCAGGUCAUAAAUGCGGCGUAGUUCAUGGGGCUCGUAGGCCAUGAGUGCUAUGUGGUCCAAGGGGUUUGUAGGUCAUGAGUGGGAGGCUGAUCGCCGCCUCCGUAGUGGCUCGGUGCCAAGUGUAGUAAAUGUGGCCGGUCACUUAUGAUGGGUUGGUCUUGGGCCAGGCAUCGGAUCCACUCAAGUGGUUUCCCUUCGGCAUGCCCGGUCCCUGUCCGAUUCUGCCACGCCCAACCUCGGGCUCAGUGUCGCGGGGUUCGUCCGGGCGGGUUCUUCGAGGGUAGAUGUUACCUAUCUCCUCCAACUGACCAACAAGCCCCAGUUGCCAGAGGCCUUUCCCCAGUUUGCUCGUUGACUGAUGGGCCCCAGGGAUCGGGGAUUAUAUCCCCGACAGUAGCCCUCAAGCCCCCGGGGGGAGAAUAUUUCCCCUUGGGGGCUGAUAAAGGGUAGGCGACGUUUUGUCCUUUCGCCCUUCGAGUGAUCGUGGUAUUUAUUCCCUCGGGAUUCAGACUGCUUUCGACGCAUCCUACUGCCUUUUGGGGUGGAGUUGGGCGACUUUGCCUCCCUUUAUAAGUUCUGGGCGGUCGUAGUUUGCUUGUUGGCGACUUUGCUUUCCUUGUCCUUUGGCCUCUUCUUGAGCGUACCUCUGACCGGGUUGUUUGACAGAUCUCGGGUUGCUUGGGCUGUCGCGUUCCAUGGGCCAUGGUCAAGGGUAGUCGUCGCCGAUGAGGCGAUCACAUUGCCACCUGUUAGGCUGCUUCGAUCGAGCUCUUUGUCUCCUCUCCCUUUCCUUCAGGCGUCUUCGGGGAGUUGCGAUGUUUCCCGCGCAGCGCAAGCGGCCACCGAGGUCGAGAUCAAGCUGCUUCGUGCCGCAUCUAGGAUAUCAUCGAUUUCGGCGUUCACAUGGGAGCUGUGGUGGCGCUGCUGAUGAGGGAGAUUUGCUUUUGGAUGAAGGGCGAGAAGACCCGCUGGAAGGUCACAACGAGGUGGCCAGUCAUGUUGUGAUUAGGGUGUCAGCUCAUUACAUCGUGCGUGACGCACGUUGAUCGCGAUGUAUCGUGCCUCGGUGCUGCUUUCCUAAAGUAAUAAAGUGAACUUCGUUGCGUGA